AAAAAUCUUGACUGAAAAGAAUUUUAAAAUGACUGAGAGAAUUGAAAUCCAAAAUAAAUUAAAAGGCAGAGAAGAACAUAUAGCUGGACUAGAUGAUUUCAAGUCACAAAAUGGCUAAAUGAACUAGCACUUAAUCAAUGUUUAUUGACUGGAAGAACAGAACUGUUCCAAGACUGGAAAAAUGCAAAUAUUUUUCGUAACAUUCAAAAUGGAGAAACAGAUCCUGUCUCCUCCACACUGUGCAAGAUAUACUACAUACAGCUGGAAACUGGAACGAAAUGCUUCUUGACACCACAGAGCAUGGUCCAGAAAAAGCCAGGUGACCACUUGGAGAUUUGAAAAGGAGACUUAUUAAAGCACUGUGGUGAUGUC